rnacentral:misc_RNA from 1 species
CUGAUUUUUGAAGUAGUCAAGGUUUUUGAUGCUCUUUUUUAGAGCUCACCUUUUCAACUUCUUUCACACUAUGUGCAACUUUUGUUUUUUUUGGGUAAAGUUUUUUUAAAUUUUACCCAAACAUUUUUUAUAAACCUUUGUUUUUUAUUUUGUCUGAUUUUAAAUCGUUUAAAAAAAAUCGAUAA